rnacentral:rRNA from 1 species
CGCCUACGGGAGGCAGCAGUGAGGAAUAUUGGUCAAUGGGCGGGAGCCUGAACCAGCCAAGUCGCGUGAGGGAAGACGGUCCUAUGGAUUGUAAACCUCUUUAGGCGGGGAGCAAUGCCGGGCACGCGUGCCCGGAGGGAGAGUACCCGCAGAAUAAGCAUCGGCUAACUCCGUGCCAGCAGCCGCGGUAAUACGGAGGAUGCGAGCGUUAUCCGGAUUUAUUGGGUUUAAAGGGUGCGCAGGCGGAAUGUCAAGUCAGCGGUAAAAUUUCGGGGCUCAACCCAGUCGUGCCGUUGAAACUGGCG